UGGGGAAUUUUGGACAAUGGGCGAAAGCCUGAUCCAGCAAUGCCGCGUGUGUGAAGAAGGCCUUCGGGUUGUAAAGCACUUUUGUCCGGAAAGAAAUCCUUGGCUCUAAUACAGUCGGGGGGAUGACGGUACCGGAAGAAUAAGCACCGGCUAACUACGUGCCAGCAGCCGCGGUAAUACGUAGGGUGCAAGCGUUAAUCGGAAUUACUGGGCGUAAAGCGUGCGCAGGCGGUUUGCUAAGACCGAUGUGAAAUCCCCGGGCUCAACCUGGGAACUGCAUUGGUGACUGGCAGGCUAGAGUAUGGCAGAGGGGGGUAGAAUUCCACGUGUAGCAGUGAAAUGCGUAGAGAUGUGGAGGAAUACCGAUGGCGAAGGCAGCCCCCUGGGCCAAUACUGACGCUCAUGCACGAAAGCGUGGGGAGCAAACAGGAUUAGAUACCCUGGUAGUCCACGCCCUAAACGAUGUCAACUAGUUGUUGGGGAUUCAUUUCCUUAGUAACGUAGCUAACGCGUGAAGUUGACCGCCUGGGGAGUACGGUCGCAAGAUUAAAACUUAAAUGAAUUGACGGGGUCAUAGCUGUUUCCU
rnacentral:rRNA from 1 species